UGACAACCUGCAGAACCUCAAUCUGAAUAAAGAAUAAAUGAUGUAACUUUAGAAGACAAUGUUCCUGCUUGAAAUCAUUCAGUGUUUAAUAAUCUGUUCAGAGCUGAAGAAGGUUGAGAAAGUAGAAGUUUAGUUGAAACAGAUUAUUCAUUUAUUGUAUUUUUGUUUAUUUAUUAUCAUUUAGUUUUUAAAAAACAUUAUGUUGAAUAUAAGAUGAAAAUCAAGAGUUUAAGAGGUUCAGAGUGAAUUAUCCAGUGGAGAUUUUUCUUGUUAUAUUCAGGUUUUAAAUGUGUAGCUCAACAUUGCUCUGCCACAGUCAAUGGACUAAACCACUGAAGAA